ACGGCUCAGUAACACGUGGAUAACCUGCCCUUGGGUCCGGCAUAACCCCGAGAAACUGGGGAUAAUUCCGGAUAACGCAUAUGUGCUGGAAUGCUUUAUGCGUCAAAUGGAUUCGUCUGCCCAAGGAUGGGUCUGCGGCCUAUCAGGUAGUAGUGGGUGUAAUGUACCUACUAGCCGACAACGGGUACGGGUUGUGAGAGCAAGAGCCCGGAGAUGGAUUCUGAGACAUGAAUCCAGGCCCUACGGGGCGCAGCAGGCGCGAAAACUUUACAAUGCGGGAAACCGUGAUAAGGGGACACCGAGUGUCAGCAUCAUAUGCUGGCUGUCCAGGUGUGUAAAAUACACCUGUUAGCAAGGGCCGGGCAAGACCGGUGCCAGCCGCCGCGGUAACACCGGCGGCCCGAGUGGUGAUCGUGAUUAUUGGGUCUAAAGGGUCCGUAGCCGGUUUGGUCAGUCCUCCGGGAAAUCUGAUAGCUCAACUAUUAGGCUAUCGGGGGAUACUACCAGACUUGGAACCGGGAGAGGUAAGAGGUACUACAGGGGUAGGAGUGAAAUCUUGUAAUCCCUGUGGGACCACCUGUGGCGAAGGCGUCUUACCAGAACGGGUUCGACGGUGAGGGACGAAAGCUGGGGGCACGAACCGGAUUAGAUACCCGGGUAGUCCCAGCCGUAAACGAUGCUCGCUAGGUGUCAGGCAUGGCGCGACCGUGUCUGGUGCCGCAGGGAAGCCGUGAAGCGAGCCACCUGGGAAGUACGGCCGCAAGGCUGAAAGUUAAAGGAAUUGGCGGGGGAGCAC
rnacentral:rRNA from 1 species